rnacentral:rRNA from 1 species
GACGAACGCUGGCGGCGUGCUUAACACAUGCAAGUCGAACGGAAAGGCCCUGCUUUUGUGGGGUGCUCGAGUGGCGAACGGGUGAGUAACACGUGAGUAACCUGCCCUUGACUUUGGGAUAACUUCAGGAAACUGGGGCUAAUACCGGAUAGGAGCUCCUGCUGCAUGGUGGGGGUUGGAAAGUUUCGGCGGUUGGGGAUGGACUCGCGGCUUAUCAGCUUGUUGGUGGGGUAGUGGCUUACCAAGGCUUUGACGGGUAGCCGGCCUGAGAGGGUGACCGGCCACAUUGGGACUGAGAUACGGCCCAGCCUCCUACGGGAGGCAGCAGUGGGGAAUAUUGCACAAUGGGCGGAAGCCUGAUGCAGCAACGCCGCGUGCGGGAUAACGGCCUUCGGGUGGUAAACCGCUUUCGCAUGUGACGAAGCGUGAGUGACGGUAAUGGGUAAAGAAGCACCGGCUAACUACGUG